GCAGCUUUUAGAGCCUGUCUAUAGCUGGACAUACAUUCUUAAAACCUCUAAUUUAGUUUUUCUCCACUUUCGCUCAAGGUUAUGGGUUGCUCUCUUGAGGGUGUGAAUAUUGUUUUGUCUCUAACCUUCUUUAAUCAGAUGGGGACAACAGUGUCUAAUGUGCUAGUAAGGAUAGUGCCUAUGCUGUUAGUCAUUUCAUCUAGAUUGCUUGUGUUUAAGGGUUAUAGUAAGAAGUUGAGACAGAUCAGGCAGGUUAUUUGUGAAUCUGUCUUUAGUGGUCAGAAUAAUAGUUCUACCAAUUCAAUAACGUGGUGAGACACGGUUAGUCUGUUCUAUAGGUGUACAGUAUUAGGUAAUGGUCUGUGAUGUCAUCGCUUUGAGGUAUGAUAUCUAUAUCAGUGACAUCUAUUCCGUGUGAUAUUAUUAAAUCUAGCAUAUGAUUAAGACAAUGAGUUGAUCUAGUGAUGUUUUGUUUAAGCCUAAAUGAGUUUAGUAGGUCCAUAAAUUUGAGUCUUAAAGCAUUGUUUGUAUUGUCAACGUGAAUGUUAAAAUCUCCUACAAUUAACACUAUCAAAAAGCCCAAACUUUAGGAACUGUCUUUGUUUAUUUCCUUGCUAUUUUUCUGCUCUAAUUACAGUAAGGUUAUCUAGAGAACUUCUCAUGCAUUUACUUUUUGAUCUCACUACUCGAGGAACGGACACAAUUUCUAUAAGAUGAGCUAUGUGUGCAUUUGUAUCAAUUUGAAGUUUUGGUGAAGGAUGGCUAUUAAAAUUAAGGCUUAAAUUGUAGUUCACCAGUGAGAAGGUUUGCAGUGCCCUGGAGAUAUUGUCCGGGAGGAUUUCCGCUCCAACUCUGCUGUGGUGCAAGCAUGGAAUAGCCUAGGGAGCUCCCAGUUAUUCCAGUUAUCAAUAAAGAGUAGAUUCCGAUCGUGAAACCAUGACUGUAACCAUUCAUUUAAGGCAAAAAGUCUACUAAACCUCUAGAUUCCUCGCUGGUAUGUGUGAAGCAGUCCAGACACGAUGAUCCUUGCCGUGGGAUAUGUGCUGCGAACCGUCUCCACCAGGGUCUUGAAGUCCCUCUUCAGGAUCUUCGACUGCCUCAGGCUGGUGUUGUUAGUGCGAGCGUGAAGAACAACAGCUCUGUUGUGCUUGCUCAGGAUCCCCGGUAACUGUGCAGUGACAUCAAGAACACAAGCACCAGGUUAACAGCAUGUUGGGUACCUUACCUUUAGCUACAGUAGCACGGAUUUGGCGGACGAGGGAGUCUCCCAUGAUCACAGCGUUACGUUCCAUCUCGUUUAGGGGCCCGGUGGUGGCCCGGAGGUGGCCCGGUGGUGGUGGCCCGAUGCGAGCUCUUACCGACCGGAAAGAUUCCAGCGUGGCUUUCCUCUCCCACAGCUGGGCCUGCUUCACAUGUUGGUUGCGGAUCUGCUUCUCCAAUGCCUCCAGCUCCAGUUCCACCAAGUGCAACUCGAACAUGUCCUCACCCGCACUCAAAGGCAGACACAUGGUGUUAUAGGGCAGGAUAUUCAGGAUGUCACUUGGUGAUUCAUGUAGACAGCACUAAACUUUAAGUGAACCUUCACCCUCCUUGACAUAUAUCGGUGCUCGGAGUGCUGGCACUGCCCUUUUGCACUUUUGUCCCACCUCACCGAGGCUUAGGAACACCACCAGUCUAGGCUGUUUCGUGAGUGCGGGUAACACAGCCCCUCACUUAACUGGACAGAAAUGCAGAUGGUCUCAGGAGUUAAUUUUUCAUUGUUAACGUGGUGGGAGUCGUCAACAAAAUCUGGAACCAGCCAACGCUUGACCUUCCAGUUCUUUCUCCUGAAGUCUUUCACCGUGAUCCACUCACCAGGGUUUAGGUCAUGCAAUGGAUCUGCAUGUGGUUUAGGAAGGGCAUCCUUCACCUGUCUGUGAAUAUCAGAUAACACAGAGGACACAAUCACCGAUAUUGGAUCUCUGGCUUCCCAGGGGACCCACUCCUGUGGUUAAGGGUCUUCCAAAAAGAAUUUCAAAUCGACUCAGAUUAACUUUACCUCUUGCUCGUGCUCGCAUGUGCAUCAACACUAUUGGGAAGGCUUUAACACAUGACAAGCCUGUUUCAGGGCAGCAUUUUGCUGAAUAACUGGAAUGCCUCUCCCAACGUUGUUCAUUGCACAUACAACACAGCGUUCACAAAUUUUUUGGGAGUAAUUAGUAAAGCCUAUGACAUGCCAAUGUUUCCUUAUUUCUGGUACCAUCCCUUCUUUUGACACAUGGUCUUUACCAUGUGUCAACUUAGCAUAAAAAGGAAACAAUUGCUAAACACGGUUUCCCUGAGGGACCAUACCAAACACCUUGUUUUUGAACACUUCCCACCUUCCUCCAGCGUUGUUUCUCCUCACAAUCACUCGUACCAUGUAAUUCAGUGAGAUUUUGGAUAGAAAAAAACAGUUUAGUCAUGAUGUUUGUGUUUUGUUUCUGCUCAGGUAGCUUUGCUGCUGCCUUUUCCACUGGAUCAGCUUUUGCUUUACCUAUGGAAAAGGAUCAUUAUUACGUGUAUGCAUUAUUAUGUGUAGGAUUGCCUCAAAGAGGUCAGCUAUUAGGCCAUGGUGUGUGAUGGGUUUGCCCAAGGAGGCCAAAAGCCCCUGAUGUUUCCACAGUGUCCCAAUGUCAUGUGUAAUGCCGAAGGCGUAUUUGCUGUUAGUAUACACAGUCAAAGUCUUACCCUCUGCCAAUUUGCAGGCUUCUAUAAUGGUGGUAAGUUCUGCUGCCUGUGCUGAGUAAUGAGAUGGGAGUUUAACUGAAAGUAAAAUUUAAUUCUGGGUAACUACUGCAAACCCCACACAGUUUUGACCUGUUUCUGAGUUCCUGGAUGCUUUCCAGAUAUAAUUUUAGAUCAGGAUUUGUCGGCAAUGUCUCCUGCAAAUCAGGUCUUGGGCUACAAACAUCAUUAACCCUCUGAGGUCUAAGGGUAUUUUUAGGGCCUGGAGAAGUUUGGUCAUACUCUGACAUUUGUGCUUUUUUCAGUUGCAUAUAAAGAUAUAAAUGGCUAAAGUCUAAUGUAAUCAGCACAAACUGGACUACAAUAAGUGAGCAGCAUGUAUGUACAUGAUUGUGUUUUUGAGAAAACAAUGUUUAUGCGUGGCUAGUGAAAAUGAAACAUUUUAAAUCACUUGAAUAAGGCCAUAAAACACAUACAGAACAUUGGUUCACAGGACUUUUGAGAACUGGAUCUUGUAGCUUAGAGUUUUUGCUUCAAAAUUAUGUGAAAAUCAUCUUGUUUACUUACUCACAGAAAACAAUAUAUUGAUUUAAAUUUUCUAAGACACUUUUUGUUGGUAAAGGGCAUAUGCGAGUAGGCGUCAACUAUCAUGAAUAUUAGUGUGAUUCACACCUGAGAAGACAAAGGCCCACAUAAUGAGCUGCAUAAUGAGCCUUACAGGUAGGUGUGUGACUGAGAGAGGAGUUACAAGAAAGAAUGUGAGGACGAAAUAAAUGUGUAUAUUUUUGUUUGUAGUUUAUUUAGAAUAUGUAACUAUCACACAAAAUAACUUUAGAAGUUAGUAAUAACAAAGAAGACACAAUCAGGGCAAAACUG